rnacentral:rRNA from 1 species
AGCCCCCACUUUACCCCCCCCCCUUUUUAACCCCUGAACAAAAUAUUUUAAUAAUUUAGUAAAGAAGAUUAAAAAACUUUUAAGAGCUAUAAAUUUGUACCGCAAGGGAAUGAUGAAAUAAAAUUGAAAUAGAUUUCAAGCACAGAAAAUUAGAGACUACCCCUUGUACCUUUUGCAUCAKGGUUUAGCUAGUUUAAUUAGGCAAAAAGCCCCUUAAGUCUAACUUCCCGAAACUAAGUGAGCUAAUUUAGGGCCGCUUAAUGAGCAAACCCGUNUAUGUUGUAAAAUAGUGGGAAGAUCCUAAAAUAGAGGUGAUAAACCUAACGAACUUAGUCAUAGCUGGUUUCUCAAUAAAAGAAUUUUAGUUCUACCUAAAGUWUACUAUGUACGCAUAAACAACCCCCCCCCACUUUAGAGCAAUUCAAAUAAGGUACAGCCUAUUUGAUACAGAACACAACCUUGAUUAAUGGGUAACACUUAAUUUACAUCUGCAAGUAGGCCUAAAAGCAGCCAUCUUUUAAAAAGCGUCCAAGCUUAUACAUGUUCGUCCUAAUCCCUUACACCAAUUAGACCCCUUUAACCAUACUGAGAACUUCUAUAAAAUUAUAGAACCUUUUAUGCUAAAACUAGUAACAAGAGACCACCCCUCUCUACAAUGCAAGUAUAGGCCAGCAAGAACCCAUCACUGGCAACUAACAGGCCUAAACAUAAGUAGUAACCCCCCCCCUCCAAAAACCCUACCUNCAUCCUAGCUGUUAAUCUAAUACCAGAGCAUUCAAGAAAGAUUAAAAGAAAGAGAAGGAAUUCCGCAAAUAUUAGCCCCGCCUGKUUACCAAAAACAUCGCCUCUUGCCCCAGUAUAAGAGGUCCAGCCUGCCCAGUGACUCUGUUCAACGGCCGCGGUAUCCUAACCGUGCAAAGGUAGCGUAAUCACUUGUCUUCUAAAUAAAGACUAGUAUGAAAGGCAUCACGAGAGCUAAACUGUCUCCUCUCUCCAAUCAGUGNACCUAAUAUCCCCGUGAAGAAGCGGGGAUCCCAAUAUAAGACGAGAAGACCCUAUGGAGCUUAAAACAUUACAUCACCUGCCACGCUAUUUAUCUACUCAGGUCUCUUACCCCCGGCACACUGACUACAUGUUUUUGGUUGGGGUGACCGCGGAGAAAAAUUAAUCCUCCGCAAUGAAGAGGGAAUUUCCCUAAACAAUAAGUCACAACUUUAUGUAUCAGCAAACUGACAUCAUUGACCCAAUAUAUUUGAUUAACGAACCAAGUUACCCUAGGGAUAACAGCGCAAUCCACUUUGAGAGCUCCUAUCGACAAGUGGGCUUACGACCUCGAUGUUGGAUCGGGGUAUCCUAGUGGUGUAGCCGCUACUAAUGGUUCGUUUGUUCAACGAUUAAAACCCCACGUGAUCUGAGUUCAGACCGGAGCAAUCCAGGUCAGUUUCUAUCUAUAAUAGCGCUUUUUUUAGUACGAAAGGACCAAAAUAGCAUGGCCAAUACCUCUAGCAAGCC